GCCGGGCGCGGUGGCGCGUGCCUGUAGUCCCAGCUACUCGGGAGGCUGAGGCAGGAGGAUCGCUUGAGCCCAGGAGUUCUGGGCUGUAGUGCGCUAUGCCGAUCGGGUGUCCGCACUAAGUUCGGCAUCAAUAUGGUGACCUCCCGGGAGCGGGGGACCACCAGGUUGCCUAAGGAGGGGUGAACCGGCCCAGGUCGGAAACGGAGCAGGUCAAAACUCCCGUGCUGAUCAGUAGUGGGAUCGCGCCUGUGAAUAGCCACUGCACUCCAGCCUGGGCAACAUAGCGAGACCCCGUCUCUU
rnacentral:SRP_RNA from 1 species